rnacentral:rRNA from 1 species
GAUGAACGCUGGCGGCGUGCCUAAUACAUGCAAGUCGAGCGAACAGAUAAGGAGCUUGCUCCUUUGACGUUAGCGGCGGACGGGUGAGUAACACGUGGGUAACCUACCUAUAAGACUGGGAUAACUUCGGGAAACCGGAGCUAAUACCGGAUAACAUUUGGAACCGCAUGGUUCUAAAGUGAAAGAUGGUUUUGCUAUCACUUAUAGAUGGACCCGCGCCGUAUUAGCUAGUUGGUAAGGUAACGGCUUACCAAGGCGACGAUACGUAGCCGACCUGAGAGGGUGAUCGGCCACACUGGAACUGAGACACGGUCCAGACUACUAAGGGAGGCAGCAGUAGGGAAUCUUACGCAAUGGGCGAAAGCCUGACGGAGCAACGCCGCGUGAGUGAUGAAGGGUUUCGGCUCGUAAAACUCUGUUAUUAGGGAAGAACAAAUGUGUAAGUAACUGUGCACGGCUUGACGGUACCUAAUCAGAAAGCCACGGCUAACUACGUG